rnacentral:sRNA from 1 species
UGACAAUGUUUUGUUUCAUAAGGUUUGC